rnacentral:rRNA from 1 species
CGAUUAAACUUUCCUUCGGGAAAGAUAUAAAGUGGCGCACGGGUGAGUAACACGUAGGUAAUCUACCUUUGAGUGGGGAAUAACAAUCGGAAACGAUUGCUAAUACCGCAUAAUGCAGCGGCACCGCAAGGUGACAGUUGUUAAAGGAGCAAUCCGCUUAAAGAGGAGCCUGCGGCAGAUUAGCUAGUUGGUAAGGUAAUGGCUUACCAAGGCUACGAUCUGUAACCGACCUGAGAGGGUGGUCGGUCACACUGACACUGAAUAACGGGUCAGACUCCUACGGGAGGCAGCAGUCGGGAAUUUUGGGCAAUGGGCGAAAGCCUGACCCAGCAACGCCGCGUGAAGGAUGAAGUAUUUCGGUAUGUAAACUUCGAAAGAAUAGGAAGAAUAAAUGACGGUACUAUUUAUAAGGUCCGGCUAACUACGUGCCAGCAGCCGCGGUAAUACGUAGGGACCAAGCGUUGUUCGGAUUUACUGGGCGUAAAGGGCGCGUAGGCGGCAGUUCAAGUCAGUUGUGAAAUCUCCGAGCUUAACUCGGAACGGUCAACUGAUACUGUUUUGCUAGAGUGCAGAAGGGGCAAUCGGAAUUCUUGGUGUAGCGGUGAAAUGCGUAGAUAUCAAGAGGAACACCUGAGGUGAAGACGGGUUGCUGGGCUGACACUGACGCUGAGGCGCG